rnacentral:rRNA from 1 species
AUUGAACGCUAGCGGCAGGCCUAACACAUGCAAGUCGAGCGAGCGGCGGACGGGUGAGUAAUGUAUGGGGACUGCCCGAUAGAGGGGGAUAACUAAUGGAAACGGUGGCUAAUACCGCAUACUAUCGGAUAACCCAUAUGGGAUUAGCUAGUAGGUGGGGUAAAGGUUCACCUAGGCGACGAUCUCUAGAUGGUCUGAGAGGAUCAUCAGCCACACUGGGACUGAGACACGGCCCAGACUCCGACGGGGGCAGCAGUGGGUAAUAUUGCACAAGUGGCGCAAGCCUGAUGCAGCCAUGCCGCGUGUAUGAAGAAGGCCUUAGGGUUGUAAAGUACUUUCAGCGGUGAGGAGUUACCCGCAGAAGAAGCACCGGCUAACUCCGUGCCAGCCGCCGCGGUAAUUC